rnacentral:rRNA from 1 species
GACGAACGCUGGCGGCGUGCCUAAUACAUGCAAGUAGAACGCACAGUUUAUACCGUAGCUUGCUACACCAUAGACUGUGAGUUGCGAACGGGUGAGUAACGCGUAGGUAACCUGCCUGGUAGCGGGGGAUAACUAUUGGAAACGAUAGCUAAUACCGCAUAAUAUUAAUUAUUGCAUGAUAAUUAAUUGAAAGGUGCAAUUGCACCACUACCAGGUGGACCUGCGUUGUAUUAGCUAGUAGGUGAGGUAACGGCUCACCUAGGCGACGAUACAUAGCCGACCUGAGAGGGUGAUCGGCCACACUGGGACUGGGACACGGCCCAGACUCCUACGGGAGGCAGCAGUAGGGAAUCUUCGGCAAUGGACGAAAGUCUGACCGAGCAACGCCGCGUGAGUGCAGAAGGUUUUCGGAUCGUAAAGCUCUGUUGUAAGAGAAGAACGGGUGUGAGAGUGGAAAGUUCACACUGUGACGGUAUCUUACCAGAAAGGGACGGCUAACUACGUG